rnacentral:rRNA from 1 species
UACGGGGGGGGCAAGCGUUGUUCGGAAUUACUGGGCGUAAAGGGCUCGUAGGUGGCCAACUAAGUCAGACGUGAAAUCCCUCGGCUUAACCGGGGAACUGCAUCUGAUACUGGAUGGCUUGAGUUUGGGAGAGGGAUGCGGAAUUCCAGGUGUAGCGGUGAAAUGCGUAGAUAUCUGGAGGAACACCGGUGGCGAAGGCGCCCACCUGGCCUGCUACUGACGCUGAAGCUCGAAAGCUAGGGGAGCAAACGGG